GAUGAACGCUGGCGGCGUGCUUAACACAUGCAAGUCGAACGGUGAAGCAGAGCUUGCUCUGUGGAUCAGUGGCGAACGGGUGAGUAACACGUGAGCAACCUGCCCCUGACUCUGGGAUAAGCGCUGGAAACGGCGUCUAAUACUGGAUAUGAGCUGCGACCGCAUGGUCAGCAGUUGGAAAGAUUUUUCGGUCUGGGAUGGGCUCACGGCCUAUCAGCUUGUUGGUGAGGUAAUGGCUCACCAAGGCGUCGACGGGUAGCCGGCCUGAGAGGGUGACCGGCCACACUGGGACUGAGACACGGCCCAGACUCCUACGGGAGGCAGCAGUGGGGAAUAUUGCACAAUGGGCGAAAGCCUGAUGCAGCAACGCCGCGUGAGGGGUGACGGCCUUCGGGUUGUAAACCUCUUUUAGCAGGGAAGAAGCGAAAGUGACGGUACCUGCAGAAAAAGCGCCGGCUAACUACGUG
rnacentral:rRNA from 1 species